UCCACGAUACCAUUUCUUUAAGCUGAAUAAUACUAAAUAAUAAUACAUCAAAGUUUACUUCCCCAGGUACGUGACCUUCAAAUACAUUCCUUACAAUAUCUGACAAUAGAUUCCAUUGUCUUACUAACUAUAACCAUUAACUCAUACUAAAUCUCAUUCGAAUAGCUUUUCUUUUCCCUUGUUCGUGCCUGAGCCUUCAGGUCGAUCGUACGUAACUGAAAACAUUUAAUUUAAGCAAGGAUGAGCAUUUGAGUGCCCAGCAAGUAAUAGCAAUUAUAUAUAUAAGCUGAAAGAAUAUAAGUAUUCUCUUUACAUAACACUUCUACAACGAAUCAAAAGUUGUGAAGUAAUCUGUACUGAUAAAAGAUUCACAUAACAACUCUCUUUCAAUUUCUUGAAAUUAGGCUCCACCCAUGAAUAGGGUUUAAGAAACAUACUAUGAACAUGGUUUUUCAUUUUCGAAAAGGUUUAGCAGAAAUUCAUCCGCAAACCGUCAUAACUUACGGGCACGGAGGGUGAUCAGCCCCGUUGUACCCUGUAUUGAUCAAUACUACAUAACUUGAACGAAAUUCAUCGCUCACCCUUUGUCCGCCGAAGCGCAUAAAAAUUUUCCCAUUAUCGGGAUGUUCAUACAUGCCUGGUUCCAAACCCGAAGGUUUUUAAUCUUGCUCAACAAUAAUAUGUAAUUCAACAUAUAUGUAUACGGGUAAUUGACAAAGGUAUAUCAACAUGUGAAUAAAUGCCAUGAUUAUCCAAGUGGGGACACUUGUAUAACCAUUUAGAAAUCAACUUAACAGAAUAUAUAUCUGAGCUAACAUGUUGAUAAUCAAAGCGUACAUAAUCUGUACAGGAAUAGAAUAAUUCUGAAACUUCUUACUCAUGUCCAUUGCAUAAAGAAAAUGCAAAGGUAGGAUACUUGCCUGAUUCGCUGAUUACAAAU
rnacentral:lncRNA from 1 species